rnacentral:ncRNA from 1 species
GCACGCCUGUCGGGACCCGAAAGAUGGUGAACUAUGCCUGAGCGGGGCGAAGCCAGAGGAAACUCUGGUGGAGGCUCGAAGCGAUACUGACGUGCAAAUCGUUCGUUGGACUUGGGUAUAGGGGCGAAAGACUAAUCGAACCAUCUAGUAGCUGGUUCCCUCCGAAGUUUCCCUCAGGAUAGCUGGAGCCCAUUACGAGUUCUAUCAGGUAAAGCCAAUGAUUAGAGGCAUUGGGGACGC